CUUUCUUUUAUUUAUUGAUUUCCAUGCAGAAGCUCUCAUCUGCGACUGCGACUCUUUGGGAUGGAUUAAAUGUUUACCGAGAACGCUUCGGUCUUUGAAACGUUCAUGUCGUUGCCAGGCGCUCUCUUUCCAGUAAGAAUGUUCUUUUAGGCAUGGUACUGUCUGCUCUUCCAAAUAACUUUAAUCUGACACCGUCUGCUGCAGGGCAUUUGUAAUGACUGUUCUUUGAAACAUCCUGAGCACAAACUAGUUAUCCAGCAUGUUAGGGGUUCACUACAUUAGCAUUUCUUAAUAGCAACACUUAAAACAACUGUAAAAUUAACUUAUGUGGUGGGUGGCGUGUUUAAAAUUGAGCCUGUCCAGUGAUAUUUGAGUGUAACUUAAGUAUUUAAAUGGCCUAAGGCUGCUGAAUGAAAUCUUUUCUAAAUGAGCUGCUUUUUGUAACCUUUCAGCGGUAGCAGCAACUGAAUGUCUUUUCUUUUUUUGUUCUUUUUUUUUUUUUUAAUCCAUGAUGUAAGAUCAGGAGUGCUUUACAAUAAUGUAACACCGGGUUUCUUGUGAAUCAAUGUAAAAAGUGCAUCACCACUCAGAGGACCCACUGUCCUGGAGGACUUUUCCCUGUUAGGAAAGAAAUUUGAAUCAGUUUUGCAUAGGUGUGGUGUCUCCCAAAGAUAACUGUGUUCAUCUGAUAUCUAAUGGAGGAGGAAACAAUUGCCACACUUCAUGGAAACCCCUGUUAAAACGGACCCCAACAGCUUCACCACACAUGCAAGAGGCUGCGCAGCCUCUGGAGACCUGCAGGGGCGCCAGAGGGGGGAAUCCAGACUUAACACAGCUGUUUGUUUCACAGAAGAAGAGAGUGAGCGAGCUGUAUCAGAGUAGUUUCUUUAUCUUUUUUGUCUUUUCAUAUCUGUAGGUGAAUUGCAAUACUUGUGUCUAUAGUUUCUGAGGUGUCAGGGGUGUUCAGUUUGCAAUAAAUGGUAUAUUCUGCUGUGUACAGUUACAUUUUUUUUAAUUACAAAAAUUGUACUUGUUUCUAUUUUUUGUGUGAUGGUUUCAAAAAGAACAAAAUUAUUUUAAAGUGUAAAGGAAAUCUUAGUAUUUUUUUAGUUUUUUGUCUUAAACUAUUGAUGCAGGAUUUAUU
ensembl:lncRNA